rnacentral:tRNA from 1 species
GCCUGGGUGGCUCAGUGGGUUGAGCGUCCGACUUCGGCUCAGGUCACCAUCUCGCGGUCCGUGGGUUCGAGCCCCGCAUCGGGCU